rnacentral:rRNA from 1 species
UACGAAGGGUGCAAACGUUGCUCGGAAUUAUUGGGCGUAAAGCGCACGUAGGCGGCUUAGCAAGUCGGAAGUGAAAUCCCUCGGCUCAACCAAGGAAGUGCUUUCGAAACUGCUGAGCUUGAGUACUUAAGAGGAUCGCGGAAUUCCCGGUGUAGAGGUGAAAAUUCGUAGAUAUCGGGAGGAACACCAGUGGCGAAGGCGGCGAUCUGGGGAAGAUACUGACGCUGAGGUGCGAAAGCG